rnacentral:rRNA from 1 species
GCCUGAUGGAGGGGGAUAACUACUGGAAACGGUAGCUAAUACCGCAUAACGUCGCAAGACCAAAGAGGGGGACCUUCGGGCCUCUUGCCAUCGGAUGUGCCCAGAUGGGAUUAGCUUGUUGGUGGGGUAACGGCUCACCAAGGCGACGAUCCCUAGCUGGUCUGAGAGGAUGACCAGCCACACUGGAACUGAGACACGGUCCAGACUCCUACGGGAGGCAGCAGUGGGGAAUAUUGCACAAUGGGCGCAAGCCUGAUGCAGCCAUGCCGCGUGUAUGAAGAAGGCCUUCGGGUUGUAAAGUACUUUCAGCGGGGAGGAAGGGAGUAAAGUUAAUACCUUUGCUCAUUGACGUUACCCGCAGAAGAAGCACCGGCUAACUCCGUGCCAGCAGCCGCGGUAAUACGGAGGGUGCAAGCGUUAAUCGGAAUUACUGGGCGUAAAGCGCACGCAGGCGGUUUGUUAAGUCAGAUGUGAAAUCCCCCGG